rnacentral:rRNA from 1 species
CCUACGGGAGGCAGCAGUGGGGAAUAUUUCACAAUGGGGGAAACCCUGAUGCAGCGACGCCGCGUGAGGGAAGAAGUAUUUCGGUAUGUAAACUUCUAUCAGCAGGGAAGAAAAUGACGGUACCUGACUAAGAAGCCCCGGCUAACUACGUGCCAGCAGCCGCGGUAAUACGUAGGGGGCACGCGUUAUCCGGAUUUACUGGGUGUAAAGGGAGCGUAGACGGCAGCACAAGUCUGGAGUGAAAUCCCGGGGCUUAACCCCGGAACUGCUUAUGAAACUGUGCGGCUAGAGUGCAGGAGGGGUAAGCGGAAUUCCUGGUGUAGCGGUGAAAGGCGUAGAUAUUAGGAGGAAUACCGGUGGCGAAGGCGGCUGACUGGACUGUAACUGACGUUGAGGCUCGAAAGCGUGGGGAGCGAACAGGAUUAGAGACCCUGGUAGUC